rnacentral:misc_RNA from 1 species
GAUGAAGAACGCAGCGAAAUGCGAUACGUAGUGUGAAUUGCAGAAUUCAGUGAAUCAUCGAGUCUUUGAACGCACAUUGCGCCCCCUGGUAUUCCGGGGGGCAUGCCUGUCCGAGCGUCAUUGCUGCCCUCAAGCACGGCUUGUGUGUUGGGCCCCGUCCUCCGAUCCCGGGGGACGGGCCCGAAAGGCAGCGGCGGCACCGCGUCCGGUCCUCGAGCGUAUGGGGCUUUGUCACCCGCUCUGUAGGCCCGGCCGGCGCUUGCCGAUCAACCCAAAUUUUUAUCCAGGUUGACCUCGGAUCAGGUAGGGAUACCCGCUGAACUUAAGCAUAUCAAUAAGCGGAGGA